GGUUUGGCCACCGAUCGGAGGUGUACUUAUCCGGAUAGGUCGUCCUGUGGGGCGGAUGGAUCAGGUCGGUGCAGUUAGUGACAGGCAGCGCUUGAGGUCUGCGGACCAAUACAGCAGGCACAGAUUGGGUACAGUUUCUGUUCAGUACUUUGAGGCAUUCUUUGCUUUGUUAUCUAUACAGUAGCAGGUUUGGUUAUUGCUUCUCAUUUAUCUGUUGUAGCUACUGUAGACUUUUCAUAUCAGCAUAUAUACUCGUUUAUCUAUCUCCUUUGGUUUUCGGUGAUUACGACUUGCCUUCGUGGCUCUGUCGUACCCACUGAGAAAACCAUGGUUGCGGUUUCUCACCCCCCAUUUUCUCAGGUGAUUCGGAUUUGGAGUUGGUACUUGGGUUCGACGAGAGGACGAUCUAGCUAGUCUGGUAUAGUGACCGUCACCCUGGUUAUUUUCAUUUCUGCACUUAAUAGUUGUUAAUAAUAAAUGGUUCAGUUAGAUGUUUGAAUGUUGUGAUUUUCGUUAUGUAUGAUUAGAUGAUCUUUAUGAUUGUUUGAAUGUUUGAAUGAGUUGGUUUUUCUCGUAUGCAUGAGAUUGUGGAUGUUUUGUUAUACAUGAGAUUGGAGUUUUCAGAUAUGUGGUUUUGGAUCCUUGGUUUCAAAUUGGAUUUAUACGCUGUGUGGAUUUCUACCCCUCGAGGUAGCUGGUUUUCAAAAUAGAGUUUCCGUGUGGGAAACAGUUUUAAAAAGGUUUUCGAAUGGUUUUCAUGAAUGAAUGAAUUAGAGUUUAAAAACAAAAGCUUCCGUGUGGGGAGCACUUUUAAAUAGGACGAUUGUUCGACUGUGCAUUGCAUCAUCCAGCGCCUAAGGAGUGUUUAGAGACAUGCAUCAUCUCUAAUGAUUGUUAGCUGUAUGAAAAUGCAUAUCAUUAAUUGGUUGUUGAUUGGUAAUUGUAGGUUGUGGUUGUGAUCCUGUUGUAUAGUUGGUACGCCGUGCAAAUACAAAGGAGACUCUGUCCGAAUGGACAAAUGAACUUUGUAUUUGUGGCGGGUCUGUACGCCACGUGGGCCAGGUUGAAAAAAAAAAAAAAAAUAUUUGCACGUCUUCUGCAACUCUGAGUUUUCAAAAUGGUAAUGAAUUUUCAAAAUGACUUUGAAAAUCGGCCCCGGGGCGUGACAGGCCCGCCCAGUUAAACC
rnacentral:lncRNA from 1 species